rnacentral:rRNA from 1 species
GGUUAAGCGACUAAGCGUACACGGUGGAUGCCCUGGCAGUCAGAGGCGAUGAAGGGCGUGCUAAUCUGCGAUAAGCGCCGGUAAGGUGAUAUGAACUGUUAUAACCGGCGAUACCCGAAUGGGGAAACCCAGUGUGACUCGUCACACUAUCAUUAACUGAAUCCAUAGGUUAAUGAGGCGAACCGGGGGAACUGAAACAUCUAAGUACCCCGAGGAAAAGAAAUCAACCGAGAUUCCCCCAGUAGCGGCGAGCGAACGGGGAGGAGCCCAGAGCCUGAAUCAGCAUGUGUGUUAGUGGAAGCGUCUGGAAAGGCGCGCGAUACAGGGUGACAGCCCCGUACACAAAAGCGCAUGUGCUGUGAGCUCGAUGAGUAGGGCGGGACACGUGGUAUCCUGUCUGAAUAUGGGGGGACCAUCCUCCAAGGCUAAAUACUCCUGACUGACCGAUAGUGAACCAGUACCGUGAGGGAAAGGCGAAAAGAACCCCGGCGAGGGGAGUGAAAAAGAACCUGAAACCGUGUACGUACAAGCAGUGGGAGCCCCACCACUAAGCCAGUGGUGAACUCCACAUACGCAUCCUUUGCUGAAGGCAAUGGUUAACGGAGCGAAAGCGACGUUCAACCGCAAAACAAGCAGAGGGGGCUUAGUGGUGGGGUGACUGCGUACCUUUUGUAUAAUGGGUCAGCGACUUAUAUUCUGUAGCAAGGUUAACCGUAUAGGGGAGCCGGAGGGAAACCGAGUCUUAAUUGGGCGUUAAGUUGCAGGGUAUAGACCCGAAACCCGGUGAUCUAGCCAUGGGCAGGUUGAAGGUUGGGUAACACUAACUGGAGGACCGAACCGACUAAUGUUGAAAAAUUAGCGGAUGACCUGUGGCUGGGGGUGAAAGGCCAAUCAAACCGGGAGAUAGCUGGUUCUCCCCGAAAGCUAUUUAGGUAGCGCCUCGUGAAUUCAUCUCCGGGGGUAGAGCACUGUUUCGGCUAGGGGGCCAUCCCGGCUUACCAACCCGAUGCAAACUGCGAAUACCGGAGAAUGUUAUCACGGGAGACACACGGCGGGUGCUAACGUCCGUCGUGAAGAGGGAAACAACCCAGACCGCCAGCUAAGGUCCCAAAGUCAUGGUUAAGUGGGAAACGAUGUGGGAAGGCCCAGACAGCCAGGAUGUUGGCUUAGAAGCAGCCAUCAUUUAAAGAAAGCGUAAUAGCUCACUGGUCGAGUCGGCCUGCGCGGAAGAUGUAACGGGGCUAAACCAUGCACCGAAGCUGCGGCAGCGACGCUUAUGCGUUGUUGGGUAGGGGAGCGUUCUGUAAGCCUGCGAAGGUGGCCUGUGAGGGUUGCUGGAGGUAUCAGAAGUGCGAAUGCUGACAUAAGUAACGAUAAAGCGGGUGAAAAGCCCGCUCGCCGGAAGACCAAGGGUUCCUGUCCAACGUUAAUCGGGGCAGGGUGAGUCGACCCCUAAGGCGAGGCCGAAAGGCGUAGUCGAUGGGAAACAGGUUAAUAUUCCUGUACUUGGUGUUACUGCGAAGGGGGGACGGAGAAGGCUAUGUUGGCCGGGCGACGGUUGUCCCGGUUUAAGCGUGUAGGUGUGUGUUCCAGGUAAAUCCGGUUCACUUUAACACUGAGGCGUGACGACGAGGCACUACGGUGCUGAAGCAACAAAUGCCCUGCUUCCAGGAAAAGCCUCUAAGCAUCAGGUAACAUCAAAUCGUACCCCAAACCGACACAGGUGGUCAGGUAGAGAAUACCAAGGCGCUUGAGAGAACUCGGGUGAAGGAACUAGGCAAAAUGGUGCCGUAACUUCGGGAGAAGGCACGCUGACACGUAGGUGAAGUGAUUUACUCAUGGAGCUGAAGUCAGUCGAAGAUACCAGCUGGCUGCAACUGUUUAUUAAAAACACAGCACUGUGCAAACACGAAAGUGGACGUAUACGGUGUGACGCCUGCCCGGUGCCGGAAGGUUAAUUGAUGGGGUCAGCGCAAGCGAAGCUCCUGAUCGAAGCCCCGGUAAACGGCGGCCGUAACUAUAACGGUCCUAAGGUAGCGAAAUUCCUUGUCGGGUAAGUUCCGACCUGCACGAAUGGCGUAAUGAUGGCCAGGCUGUCUCCACCCGAGACUCAGUGAAAUUGAACUCGCUGUGAAGAUGCAGUGUACCCGCGGCAAGACGGAAAGACCCCGUGAACCUUUACUAUAGCUUGACACUGAACAUUGAGCCUUGAUGUGUAGGAUAGGUGGGAGGCUUUGAAGCGUGGACGCCAGUCUGCGUGGAGCCGACCUUGAAAUACCACCCUUUAAUGUUUGAUGUUCUAACGUGGACCCGUAAUCCGGGUUGCGGACAGUGUCUGGUGGGUAGUUUGACUGGGGCGGUCUCCUCCUAAAGAGUAACGGAGGAGCACGAAGGUUGGCUAAUCCUGGUCGGACAUCAGGAGGUUAGUGCAAUGGCAUAAGCCAGCUUGACUGCGAGCGUGACGGCGCGAGCAGGUGCGAAAGCAGGUCAUAGUGAUCCGGUGGUUCUGAAUGGAAGGGCCAUCGCUCAACGGAUAAAAGGUACUCCGGGGAUAACAGGCUGAUACCGCCCAAGAGUUCAUAUCGACGGCGGUGUUUGGCACCUCGAUGUCGGCUCAUCACAUCCUGGGGCUGAAGUAGGUCCCAAGGGUAUGGCUGUUCGCCAUUUAAAGUGGUACGCGAGCUGGGUUUAGAACGUCGUGAGACAGUUCGGUCCCUAUCUGCCGUGGGCGCUGGAGAACUGAGGGGGGCUGCUCCUAGUACGAGAGGACCGGAGUGGACGCAUCACUGGUGUUCGGGUUGUCAUGCCAAUGGCACUGCCCGGUAGCUAAAUGCGGAAGAGAUAAGUGCUGAAAGCAUCUAAGCACGAAACUUGCCCCGAGAUGAGUUCUCCCUGAGACUUAGAGUCUCCUGAAGGAACGUUGAAGACGACGACGUUGAUAGGCCGGGUGUGUAAGCGCAGCGAUGCGUUGAGCUAACCGGUACUAAUGAACCGUGAGGCUUAACCUU